rnacentral:rRNA from 1 species
UACGGGGGGGGCAAGCGUUGUUCGGAAUUACUGGGCGUAAAGGGCGCGUAGGCGGGUGUGCAAGUCUGUGGUGAAAGCCUCCAGCUUAACUGGAGAAGUGCCAUGGAUACUGCACAUCUUGAGGAGGGUAGGGGCAUCUGGAACGGUCGGUGGAGCGGUGAAAUGCGUUGAUAUCGACCGGAACUCCGGUGGCGAAGGCGAGGUGCUGGACCCUUUCUGACGCUGAGGCGCGAAAGCCAGGGGAGCAAAGCGGG